UUUCAUUGGAAAUCAACCAUUGAAACCAAGACCAGCCUGUUCCUGUAGUGGAAUUAGCCUUGGAAGAAUUAUACAAAUACCUUUUAAGAGAAGGGGAAAGAGAGAAACCCACAGCAACUUGGCGCUUCUCCCAAGAAUGAUCUUGACAAGGCGUGAAUGUCGGGGGGAAAGAAUAGUACGGGGUACAAUAAGGAGAGGCCUUAAAAUAAGUGGCAUUGCUAGCGUUAGGAAAAGCCACCGGGAGUGACACCUGGGAAAUUAUAGCCAAAGUGGUGAUAUUCAUUUCGGUCGAAUUUGUAGUCUUUCCUGAGCCCUCCUGUUUCCCAUUUCUCAUUUGGCUAAGCACCGCAGCCAAGAUUCCCAGUGAGACCCUACUGUUCUGUAAGGGGUCCUCCCAAUUGGUCAAAUUGUUGUGCUGUAAGCGAAUACAAUGGGUUCUCAAGAAACUGAAGCAGAAAACUCCCGUGAUAUUAACACGAGAAAGGUUGAAAACCUGUUCCCCGUCUCCUCUAGGGGAGACACAAGGGGCAGACAUCUCACAUGAAGUAGAAAAAAGAGUGGGGAGGACACUAGAAUUUUUAUGGACCGGCAUCGGCAUCGGCCAUGUCCGAGCUACCGCCCACCACUGCAUCGGUAACAUCU
rnacentral:lncRNA from 1 species